GCAUAUCAAUAAGCGGAGGAAAAGAAACCAACAGGGAUUGCCUCAGUAACGGCGAGUGAAGCGGCAAGAGCUCAAAUUUGAAAGCUGGCCCCUUCGGGGUCCGCGUUGUAAUUUGCAGAGGAUGCUUCGGGUGCAGCCCCCGUCUAAGUGCCCUGGAACGGGCCGUCAUAGAGGGUGAGAAUCCCGUCUGGGACGGGGUGUCUGCGUCCGUGUGAAGCUCCUUCGACGAGUCGAGUUGUUUGGGAAUGCAGCUCUAAAUGGGUGGUAAAUUUCAUCUAAAGCUAAAUACUGGCCGGAGACCGAUAGCGCACAAGUAGAGUGAUCGAAAGAUGAAAAGCACUUUGAAAAGAGAGUUAAACAGCACGUGAAAUUGUUGAAAGGGAAGCGUUUGCGACCAGACUCGCCCGCGGGGUUCAGCCGGCAUUCGUGCCGGUGUACUUCCCCGUGGGCGGGCCAGCGUCGGUUUGGGCGGCCGGUCAAAGGCCCUCGGAAUGUAUCACCUCUCGGGGUGUCUUAUAGCCGAGGGUGCAAUGCGGCCUGCCUGGACCGAGGAACGCGCUUCGGCUCGGACGCUGGCGUAAUGGUCGUAAAUGACCCGUCUUGAAACACGGACCAAGGAGUCUAACAUCUACGCGAGUGUUCGGGUGUCAAACCCGUACGCGCAGUGAAAGCGAACGGAGGUGGGAGCCCCCUCGCGGGGCGCACCAUCGACCGAUCCUGAUGUCUUCGGAUGGAUUUGAGUACGAGCGUAGCUGUGGGGACCCGAAAGAUGGUGAACUAUGCCUGAAUAGGGCGAAGCCAGAGGAAACUCUGGUGGAGGCUCGCAGCGGUUCUGACGUGCAAAUCGAUCGUCAAAUUUGGGUAUAGGGGCGAAAGACUAAUCGAACCAUCUAGUAGCUGGUUCCUGCCGAAGU
rnacentral:rRNA from 1 species